rnacentral:misc_RNA from 1 species
AAGUCGUAACAAGGUUUCCGUAGGUGAACCUGCGGAAGGAUCAUUACCGAGUUCAUGCCCUUCGGGGUAGAUCUCCCACCCUUUGUAUACUAUACCUUUGUUGCUUUGGCGGGCCGCCUAGCUACUGGCUUCGGCUGGUAAGUGCCCGCCAGAGAACCCAAAACCCUGAAUUAUUAGUGUCGUCUGAGUAAAAUAUUUAAUAUUUAAAA